UAAACUCAAAGGAAUUGACGGGGGCCCGCACAAGCGGCGGAGCAUGUGGCUUAAUUCGACGCAACGCGAAGAACCUUACCAAGGCUUGACAUACACCGGAAACAUCCAGAGAUGGGUGCCCCCUUGUGGUCGGUGUACAGGUGGUGCAUGGCUGUCGUCAGCUCGUGUCGUGAGAUGUUGGGUUAAGUCCCGCAACGAGCGCAACCCUUGUCCCGUGUUGCCAGCAGGCCCUUGUGGUGCUGGGGACUCACGGGAGACCGCCGGGGUCAACUCGGAGGAAG
rnacentral:rRNA from 1 species